rnacentral:rRNA from 1 species
UACGGAAGGGAGCUAGCGUUGUUCGGAAUCACUGGGCGUAAAGCGCACGUAGGCGGAUGUGUCAGUCAGGGGUGAAAUCCCGGAGCUCAACUUCGGAACUGCCCUUGAUACAGCACGUCUUGAGUCCGGAAGAGGUGGGUGGAAUUCCUAGUGUAGAGGUGAAAUUCGUAGAUAUUGGGAAGAACACCGGUGGCGAAGGCGGCGACCUGGUCCAUUACUGACGCUGAGGCGCGACAGCGUGGGGAGCAAACAGG